rnacentral:lncRNA from 1 species
CACAAGAUUAGUAGAGAUCACUACAAAUGGAGGAAGACAUUUGAAGUGAUCAAUAAUUUCCUCCCUGCCCUCUUAGAGACAACAGAUAUCUGGCUAAUUAAAAAAACUAUAUUUUUCAAUUUGCUCAUGCAUUUUAGCCUCAUUUCUUGACUUAUGACAAUCUCUUUAUAUUGUCAUUUCAGUACUUGUCUCAAAUCCUGUUCCAUUCCUGAAGCUAAAACUACCAUGUUUCUUAAUAACACUGGAAUUAGUAAAGAAUACUUUCUUCUAUGGAGCCCAUAUACUUCUCCCGUAUGGAAAAUAAAUGGAAAGGAGACAGUUGGCAAGAGACACAGGGGACUGCACUGCAAAGCAAAGUAAGAUUAGAAUGGAAUGAAGUGUUAAAGGUUUCUCUUUAAAAUACAUCGGACAUUCACACCCAGGUUUCCAAAUCAAUGAUCAGUGUAUGCAGUACUUCAAUCAAGGAAGUGAAGAAAUACAUUAAAGGGUGUCAGAAAACACAUUACUAAGACACCACUCCAGAGCCAACAGUCCUGUGAAAUGGCAAAAUUCAACUGUGAAAGACACGCCUCAGAGACUCGUGGGGUCUGUUUCUGAACGGUUUUUACUGGAAACUUACAUAAAUUAUUUGGCCUUGAUUACUGAGUCCUUAAUUCAUAAUAUGUAAUUAUUGUUAUUUUAUUUGUGAUAGAUCCAG